CUUCAGCCCAAACCAUAAGGUCCAUCUCACCUUCACUGCAACAAACAAGGGUUGUUAAAGCUGGACACCGAUUUGCUCGGCUUCACCCUCUGAUGUGUUCCACACCACUUCAUGCCACUUUUCAAAAAGAUGAUAAAACGUCAGGGUGAGUAGAACAGAACUGGGUGCAAAUAAAUCUCUCUGAAGCUAACUUGCCUCUCUCCACUCCUACUUCCCUCUGCACGUGCCUUUGCUUUAUUCCUCUGCAUGAGAGAAGCAGUCAAAUCUUUCCCAUUUUCAUACCUGGAUUGCUGCUCAACAGCCUCAACAACUGAGACCUGAAUGUAUCCCCAUUUUAAAGAACCUAACAGAACAUUAAAAUUGUUUCCCA
rnacentral:antisense_RNA from 1 species